rnacentral:tRNA from 1 species
GCCCGGUUGGCGGUAUUGGUAGACGCGGGGGACUUAAAAUCCCGUGGCCCUUGGGCCGUCCCGGUUCGAGUCCGGGAGCGGGCACCA